ensembl:snoRNA
UUACAAUAAUGGUAAUAUUUUUUAGAAGAAGUUCACUUACUGAGUAUUGAUAUUUUGUGUCUGAGUGA